AUCCAGCUGACUAGUCCCAAAUAGAACGAAACGCGUGUCCUGGAU
rnacentral:hammerhead_ribozyme from 1 species